CCGUUCCCAUGCCGAACACGGUCGUUAAGCUCUUCAGCGCCGAUGGUAGUUGGGGGCUUCCCCCUGUGAGAGUAGGACGUUGCCGGGC
rnacentral:rRNA from 1 species